GUAGCGAAAUGCGAUACUUGGUGUGAAUUGCAGAAUCCCGUGAACCAUCGAGUUUUUGAACGCAAGUUGCGCCCAACGCCUUCGGGUCGAGGGCACGUCUGCCUGGGUGUCACGC
rnacentral:rRNA from 1 species